rnacentral:rRNA from 1 species
UACGGGGGGGGCAAGCGUUGUUCGGAAUUACUGGGCGUAAAGGGCUCGUAGGUGGCCCACUAAGUCAGACGUGAAAUCCCUCGGCUUAACCGGGGAACUGCGUCUGAUACUGGAUGGCUUGAGUUCGGGAGAGGGAUGCGGAAUUCCAGGUGUAGCGGUGAAAUGCGUAGAUAUCUGGAGGAACACCGGUGGCGAAGGCGGCAUCCUGGACCGACACUGACACUGAGGAGCGAAAGCCAGGGGAGCAAACGGG